GCGCGAAACCUCCGCAAUGCGGGCAAUCGCGACGGGGGGACCCCAAGUGCCACUCUUAACGGGGUGGCUUUUCUUAAGUGUAAAAAGCUUUUGGAAUAAGGGCUGGGCAAGACCGGUGCCAGCCGCCGCGGUAACACCGGCAGCCCAAGUGGUGGCCAUUUUUAUUGGGCCUAAAGCGUUCGUAGCCGGCCUGAUAAGUCUCUGGUGAAAUCCCGCAGCUUAACUGUGGGAAUUGCUGGAGAUACUAUCAGGCUUGAGGUCGGGAGAGGUUAGAGGUACUCCCAGGGUAGGGGUGAAAUCCUAUAAUCCUGGGAGGACCACCUGUGGCGAAGGCGUCUAACUGGAACGAACCUGACGGUGAGGAACGAAAGCCAGGGGCGCGAACCG
rnacentral:rRNA from 1 species